rfam:Salmo salar isolate Sally breed double haploid chromosome ssa11, whole genome shotgun sequence.
AAUGCACCAAUUUGUAAGUCGCUCUGGAUAAGAGCGUCUGCUAAAUGACUGAUU